rnacentral:rRNA from 1 species
UGAGGGAUAUUGGGCAAUGGGGGAAACCCUGACCCAGCGACGCCGCGUGAGGGAAGACGGUCUUCGGAUUGUAAACCUCUGUCUUUGGGGACGAAAAAGGACGGUACCCAGGAGGAAGCUCCGGCUAACUACGUGCCAGCAGCCGCGGUAAUACGUAGGGAGCGAGCGUUGUCCGGAAUUACUGGGUGUAAAGGGAGCGUAGGCGGGAUUGCAAGUUGGAUGUGAAAACUGCGGGCUCAACCCGGAGAGUGCAUUCAAAACUGCGAUUCUUGAGUGAAGUAGAGGCAAGCGGAAUUCCUAGUGUAGCGGUGAAAUGCGUAGAUAUUAGGAGGAACACCAGUGGCGAAGGCGGCUUGCUGGGCUUUUACUGACGCUGAGGCUCGAAAGUGUGGGGAGCAAACAGGAUUAGAUACCC